GACUAGAAAAAACAAUUUUGAAAAUCUCUAAAAUGUCAUCCAAUUCGAUCUCGUCUGAUCUCGGAAGCUAAGCAAGGUUGGGCCUGGUUAGUACUUGGAUGGGAGACCACCUAGGAAGACCGGGUGCUGUAGGCA
rnacentral:rRNA from 1 species